UACAGAGGUCUCAAGCGUUGUUCGGAUUCAUUGGGCGUAAAGGGUGCGUAGGCGGCGCGGUAAGUCGGGUGUGAAAUCUUGGAGCUUAACUCCGAAACUGCAUUCGAUACUGCCGUGCUUGAGGACUGGAGAGGAGACUGGAAUUUACGGUGUAGCGGUGAAAUGCGCAGAUAUCGGGAGGAACACCGGUGGCGAAGGCGGUUCUCUGGGCCAGUACUGACGCUGAGGAGCGAAAGCGUGGGUAGCAAACAGG
rnacentral:rRNA from 1 species